rnacentral:rRNA from 1 species
UACGGAGGGAGCUAGCGUUAUUCGGAAUUACUGGGCGUAAAGCGCACGUAGGCGGCUUUGUAAGUAAGAGGUGAAAGCCCAGAGCUCAACUCUGGAAUUGCCUUUUAGACUGCAUCGCUUGAAUCAUGGAGAGGUCAGUGGAAUUCCGAGUGUAGAGGUGAAAUUCGAUAGAUAUUCGGAAGAACACCAGUGGCGAAGGCGGCUGACUGGACAUGUAUUGACGCUGAGGUGCGAAAGCGUGGGGAGCAAACAGG